rnacentral:misc_RNA from 1 species
CCCAACUAUCCCUAUUAAUCAUUACCGUGGCCGUCAAAACCAACGAAAUAAGACCACGGUCCUAUUCCAUUAUUCCAUGCUAAUCUAUUCGAGCUUGCGCCCGCUUUGAACACUCUAAUUUUUUCAAGGUAAACGUCUUGGCUCCGCGACACGCCGCCCUCGCGGACGGCGCCCCGCCUCCCCAAGAGGAAAGGACCGGCCCAUGAGCAGUGCUCACCUUGCGGUGGACCGCCCGGCCAGACCCAAACUUCGACUACGAGCUUUUUAACUGCAACAACUUUAAUAUACGCUAUUGGAGCUGGAAUUACCGCGGCUGCUGGCACCAGACUUGCCCUCCAA